rnacentral:rRNA from 1 species
GCCACGCCCGCUCAAGAAACUACAAAGGAAUUGACGGGCCCCGCACAAGCAGCGGAGCGUGUGGUUUAAUUCGAUGCUACACGAAGAACCUUACCAGGGUUUGACAUACAAGUAGUAGGGAAAGGAAACUGGACCGACCCUUCGGGGAGCUUGAACAGGUGCUGCAUGGCUGUCGUCAGCUCGUGUCGUGAGAUGUUCGGUUAAGUCCGCUAACGAGCGCAACCCUCGCUGUGUGUUACAAGUGUCACACGGAACUGCCGGUCAUAAACCGGAGGAAGGUGGGGAUGACGUCAAGUCAGCAUGGCCUUUAUAUCCUGGGCUACACACACGCUACAAUGGGAAGGGACAAUAGGUUGCGAAACCGCGAGGUGGAGCCAAUCCAGCAAAACUUCCCUCAGUUCAGAUUGCAGGCUGCAACUCGCCUGCAUGAAGUUGGAGUUGCUAGUAAACGCAGGUCAGCCAUACUGCGUUGAAUACGUUCCCGGGGCUU